rnacentral:rRNA from 1 species
UACAGAGGUCCCAAGCGUUGUUCGGAUUCACUGGGCGUAAAGGGUGCGUAGGUGGCCAGGUAAGUUCGGUGUGAAAGCUCGGAGCUUAACUCCGAAAUGGCAUUGAAUACUAUCUGGCUAGAGGGUCGGAGGGGAGACUGGAAUUCUCGGUGUAGCAGUGAAAUGCGUAGAUAUCGAGAGGAACACCUGCGGCGAAGGCGGGUUGCUGGGCUGAUACUGACGCUGAGGCGCGAAAGCCAGGGGAGCGAACGGG